AUUGAACGCUGGCGGCAGGCCUAACACAUGCAAGUCGAACGAGUGGCGCACGGGUGAGUGAAGUCUGGGAAACUUCGCGCUGGAGAGGGAUAUCUACUGUAAACAGGAGCUAUUACCGCAUACCAUAGUAUGUGUCCACAGGGGAUAAGCUCGUAGGUGGGGUAACGGCUCACCAAGACGACGAUCCCUAGCUGGUCUGAGAGGAUGAACAGCCACACUGGAACUGAGACACGGUCCAGACUCCUACGUGAGGCAGCAGUGGGGAAUAUUGGACAAUGGGGAAAACCCUGAUGCAGCCAUGCCGCGUGUAUGAAGAAGGCCUUCGGGUUGUAAAGCACUUUCAGCGAGGAGGCGUUACUCGCAGAAGAAGCACCGGCUAACUCCGUGCCAGCAGCCGCGGUAAUUC
rnacentral:rRNA from 1 species